rnacentral:rRNA from 1 species
AUGGCCCUUGUCUAUGAGCAUAUGUCAAAUGGAAACCUUGCAGAUAAACUCAGAGGGCGAGAUCGCAAUGGUGAAUGUUUAACCUGGAGACAGAGGCUCUGUAUUGCAUCAGAGUCCGCGCAAGGCCUCGAGUACCUGCACAAGGCGUGUAGCCCGCCAUUUGUACACCGUGAUGUGAAGAUGUCAAACAUCCUACUGGAUUCCAAUAUGAAGGCCAAGGUUGCUGAUUUUGGCUUGAUGAAAGCCUUCAAUUGCGAUGAUGAUACACAUGUAUCCACGGCCAGGGUGGUUGGCACACAAGGCUACCUUGCCCCUGAGUAUGCAACAGCACUGCAGCUCACUGAAAAGAGCGAUGUGUACAGCUUUGGCGUGGUGCUACUGGAGCUGAUCACUGGAAAGACUCCCUUCGUGCAAAUAUGGCAGGAGCAGCCGACCCAUAUUGUCAAGUGGGCGCAACAACGCCUUUCACGUGGUGACAUCGAGGGCUUGGUGGACACGCGCAUGCAAGGCAAUUAUGACAUCAACAGUGUGUGGAAGGUCGUGGACCUCGCGCUGGAGUGCACGGCGCAAAUUCCGACGCAGCGGCCCACGAUGACCCGCGUGGUGGCGCAGUUGCUAGAGUACCUCGAUCUGGAGGAUAACCGUGCCAUCUUUUACACUGCCAUGAAUGGCGACACAAGUGGCACAUACUACACAAGUAUCAGUGGCAACAGGAAUGACAUCUUCUACACCGGUAGCUGCGACGAUCCCAAUUCAAGUUCUAGUAUGUACACCACUGGCCAAUCCACAACUGAUGCUGCCCACAGCAGCGCAGCACUGAGAGUGGAAAAUAAUCCUGGCAGCGCUUCAGUGGUGGCCACCGGUCCUGCUGCAGGAUGA